AGAGCGUCUUCUCGGGCCUGGGCGGCGCAGACGAGGCCUGAGGCGGCGGCGGCGCGAGGCAGUUCCAGCUAUUCUUCAGAUGCUCUGGAUUUUGAGACGGAGCACAAAUUGGACCCUGUAUUUGAUUCUCCACGGAUGUCCCGCCGUAGUUUGCGCCUGGCCACGACAGCAUGCACCCUGGGGGAUGGUGAGGCUGUGGGUGCCAACAGCGGCACCAGCAGCGCUGUCUCCCUGAAGAACCGAGCGGCCAGAACAGCAAAACAGCGCAGAAGCACAAACAAAUCAGCUUUUAGUAUCAACCACGUGUCAAGGCAGGUCACAUCCUCUGGCGUCAGCCAUGGCGGCACUGUCAGCCUGCAGGAUGCUGUGACUCGACGGCCUCCUGUAUUGGACGAGUCUUGGAUUCGUGAACAGACUACAGUGGACCACUUCUGGGGAUGUUUGAACAAAGACAAUCCAAAAACUUCAGUGUGUUUCCAAGAAAGCUCUAAGCAGUGAAGCAGCCAGGGUUAGAGAGUUCUUA
rnacentral:sRNA from 1 species